CUUGGCUUUGUUGGAGAGAGGUUGUGGAGGUGACCUGAGGGAUAUGGCUCUGCCAUUUGUUCAGUGAUAUUCCAGGUUCAAACCUAGCAAUGAAGACACAAUUUCUGCGGUGAGAGGGUGUUGACUCUAUAACCCUGGCAGAGAAAGGAGUAACACCUGAGACUAAUGAGCACCAGAUGAAAGCUCCUGUGUACUUCAGCUGUGGCUGCCACCAAGGUAAAUUGCAAAACUUUCAUCAGAACGGCUAAAAGAAAGAGCUUAUCUUGAAUAUUUCAGUGAAAGAACUGUAAUUUCUGCAGCUGAGUGCUUUUUGUUGAUUAUUUACACUAUUUGGAGGAGUGGAAUGCAUUAUUUGCACUUGUCACCUUUAAAAAGCUUUCUUGAAAAUGUAAAAAUAUUCUGGUUUGCCUGGUUUAUCUUAUUAUUCAUGUUCAGUAUUUCCAGUGGGUUAUCUACAGCUCACUAAGCAGGCAGACAUAAUUUCUUAAAAUGGAGUGUUAUUCAGUGGAAUAGGGAUAAAUCUAAAGCAAAAAAAUAAUUUCAGUAUGGUAAGCACAGCAAUUUGUAUUAUUUUAGCUCAGCGUGGUUGCAGAUCUAAAUCUCCUAAAAAGAUCCAGGAGAAAAGGUACAUUUACACACAGCAUUUUUAAAAGGCAUAGUCACUUGCUUGUGUUAAAAGCUGCUCAUCCAUAGGAAAUACUUGGAACAUUGAGGUUUUUGAACGAUUGACUAAUUAAAAAAAAAAAAUUAGAAUGUGUGGUGAAAGGAAAUCUUCUGGGUGAAGAAAUGUGAAAGUAACAUUUCUGGCAGGCUACUUUGGGUGAUGUCAUUCUCCCAAAUGUGCCAAAGUCUGGUGUUUUACAGCAAGAACUGAUUUCUCAAGGCAGGCAGAGUCCAUGGGCGCUUGGUGCUGCUCUCAACUUCAGCCAGCCCAGCUCUGUGCAUUUUUGCAGCCUGUUGGAUGUAAUAAACCAUGCACACUUCUAAACAUGGCACUGAGGCUUCAUUUUAAUGUGAGAACACACUCACAUGGAGCUGCACAUGCUCCAUAAAUCCUGUGCACACCUUUCAUUGGGUGGGUUUGUCUCUUGGCUGAGGAUCUGCUCAAGGCCAGUGUUGGGUAUUCCUUGCCUUCUGUGUUAAUUGUUAAACUGAUUGGGUUCUGUGUAACUCAUCCAAGAGGGAGCACAAAUCCAGUCAUCUCUGGGGACCUUAAAGGAUUGUCCCACUACGGGCCAGUAAAUGUAGAUCACUUCUGUGAAAGCACAGCCAAUAUUUGGCUUUGUUGCAUUUUAUAUUACUGCUUUCAUUCCAUCAAUUUGAACAACUGGGCCCAGUCGUGUGGAAUAGGUACUUUAAAAUAAAAAUUGUAAAGAGUACAGCUGGCGGCAGAAAAUACUCAGGGCCUGAUUCUGGAGAAAUUUAGUGGACUGCUAAUGGAAUAAGGUGUUUCUGGUCCCAAGGUAGACUGGCCUUGUGGUUAUUGCAUCUGAAAGAAAACUGCUGCAUACUUUUCCUUUUUUACUUCUAGUGACAAAUACCAUGUCAACAGUGAGUAAAAUUUUUGUUACUAGUUGUAUAUUGAAAUAAUCAUAUAAUUAUGUAAUCAUAUAAUUAUAUCAAUCAAGAUAUCAGUGUCUUAUGAGCAGGUUUAUUCCUUAUGAUAUUAGGAAUAUAAUCAAUAUUGUAAAUCAAUGUGAUUUACAUCACAAAGUACCAAAUCAAUAUUUCCAUGCUAGCAAAUAGAAUAAAAGAAUAAUGAUACUCCUUUAUUCUGUUUGCUAGCAUGAAAAUAUUGAUUUGGUACUUUGUGAUUCAAGGACUUUCUACAUCCAUUGAGGAAAAUCCAUUUGGUAAAGCUCUGGAAAGAAAAUCCAUCAAAGCCUCUCAAGCUUUAUCAAGUCUUAUUGACAUUAAAAAUGCAUAUAUUUGAUCUAAGCUUGGUGGGCAUCUCUUAUUAUGACACUGUCAUUUUAUGACGUUGAGUAUUCUUAAGGUAAGUGUAUGCCAAACCAGCAUUUUGGAAUAUUUAUGUCUGUAGAUUAUGGUAAUUCUUUGGUUGUGGGAUCCCAAAAGAAUAGCACCUCUUAUAGGCACACCUGCAUGAUGGUGGAAAGUGCAUCCUCAGUUUUUGUCCCAACAAAGAUUGCAGGUAGGUUACAGCAGAGGAAGGGUGUGGCAGCAUUGGAAAAAUGGAGGUAAGACAAAAAAGUCUAACAAUUCUUCUUAUUCCCCACAUGAGCUCUGGAUGAAAAAUGUUUAAAUCUGUCUGAGAACCAAUGUUUAAAAUGUCUAUCCAUAUAGAUGACGUGGCAGUAGUGAAAGUUUCGGAGUUCAUAAAACGCAGUGCAAAAUUUUAUCUGAUUCUAAUUCAAAGUAGUUAUCAAUACUCUUCAUUGGUACCAUGAGCCAUUUAACAUUCAGUAUACUUGCCAAGUGCUGUAGGUGUAAUUUCAUUUUUAACAAGUCACUACCAGCAGGCUCAGGUUCCACUGUCAUUGUAGGACUCCUUGGCUGUCAUAACCAAAGCUGGAAUGUGGAACUUUGUGCCUGGUGUAGACCAAAUAAUUUCACUUAAAUGUUGGUAAUUUUAGCAAGUCUUCAUUAACAAAAUGCAAAAGCAUUUUUGUUAUGACUGCUAGACCUUCCUAAUAAAAAGAAAUAAUCAAUGCAUAUUUGAAAUAUAAUAGGCUUAGUGUCUAAUUGUAAAACUUAAAUAACCGUACUGGAGAUUUCUGUAAAUAUUCAAUAUUUUUGCCGUGUUUAUGGUCUUGGACAUGUCCAGCUGUGUUUGGGUGUUUAAAUGUGUCAUUGAAACGUGCUGUACCUCUGCAAAAGCUCUUGGGAGCAGCUGCUGCCUGGGCUGGGCGUGCUGGGGUGCAGGAGGAUUCUCCCCCCUCUUCCUGAGCCAAGAUUUUAUUAGGCUGGCUUGUAAAUCAGAGGGAUGGAUGCCUGCUGAGUUGGGAUUUUUGGUUAUUGCUGCACUGAACUAGGAUUUUGGUGUUUCAAAGAUUCAGGAGCUGGACUGCAUUGAGUUAUUUGUGAGUGAGCAGCAGCUGGGGAAGAUUCAGCACUGUUUACUGGCAAUACCUAUGGACAGACAAAUCCAACAGCCACAUCUGCACUCAGGAGUGUCCUACAACCACCUCAUGGAUGUGUAGGUUACACUAAAAAUGAGGGAGGAGAGGCACCUUCAUCUAGGGAAAAACUACUUUAUCAUGUUGUAUAACCCAUGUCCUCCCUUUCCAUUGUAGGAAUUAAUUCCUCAGGAUUUGGACUUUCUGGGAGUCUUGUUUUAAUUUUACAAUGUAAAGAACUACAGGGGUAGAGACCGUGUCUUAUUUAUUGCUUUUAUGAGUCAUUUAGUUCAUUUUUGGAUGCUUGACAGAUAAUAAUGUGUUUGAUUGCAUCAUGUGGUACACCAGGUCUGGAGGAAAACAGACUUUCAACUCUGUAAUGAAGUCUUAAGCUUGAUUUACUGUUUACUCAUUCAACAGCAGACGCAGGCCAGAAUUCAGCUCAUUUAAGUUCUAUGGAGUGGCUCAGCCAAAGGCAAUAUAAAACCAGGUAUCAUCAGUGUACAUCUAAUAGUUCACACUGUGUGACGCUGUCUAGAUUUUCAUCAUUAAUGUUCCUGCACUAAACAUGGCGCAUUGGAUAGAAGAAAACUUGGAUGGAUUUCAGCUGGAAAAUAUUCCCAGUAUCCAAGAGUUCUGUAGAAUAACAUGUUAAUGGUUGUAAUUUUGCAGUAGUCCUUAUACACUCUGUAUUUCCCAGUUGUUGAGCCCUACUCUAAUUAAUCUCUCAAUAAAACAAAACAAAACCUUCCCCCCUUUUUUCUCUCCCAUCCCAUUGUGUGGUCUUUGGAAAGCCAGAGUUGUGGAAAUAUCAACAAAUUAAUUCUUAACAGAAUAAUCGAGCUGACAGCUAAAGAGAUGCUCACUUUAUCAAGCACUUAAAAAAAUAAUACUUUUGUUCGAAUUUUGUUCUCCAUUAUUGAUUUUUCCUUUGAGUGAAGCUGAGUCUGGUGCAGAGGGCUGUGGAGGGCUGGGAUGCUUUUGGCCGGGCCUGGGGAUGUGGUGUUCAGCCUGAGCAGCUGAGGGAGGAGCUCUGGAUUCCUUUUCCUCCUCAGGGACAUGGCAGUAGUCAGGAGCUGAGGAUGGACCUCGUUCUGGGGCACAUGCUCAGCCAAGGAAAUUUGAUCAAGUUGUGUUGAGCAAAAAUUCCAACCUGCCGUGGAUGGGGAGUGUCAGAAAGGCAGGACAGCACUGCCUGUGGUGAAGCUCUUGUGUCAGAGGGAUGAAUUAACAACUUUGACUGCAGUGGGGCUGCUUUGGGAUCUGAACUUCCAAUCUCCCUGAGGCUUCUCAGGGAGCUCAGCCAUGGCAAAGGACUAAGAAAGAAAAAGGACUUAAAUGUUAUGGAAUAUUAAUAGAGCCUUCUUGGUAAUGGGGGGAUUUCCAAAGGGGGGAGGCCAAAGUGGUCAAGUCCAAAUAAUGCAAAACUGACUUGAAAUAUGUGAUUUAGAUUUAUAACAUGUCUCAGUUGAACGGCUGGACAGAAUCACACAAGUUAAUUUGGACUUCCAGAGCAAGAUCAGGAAAGGGAGACCACUCAGGAGACCAUUGAAUUCAUCAGUGAAUCCUAAUCAUUUACUGGAGAAGUUAAAAGAAAUUGUCUUUAAUGAGGAGAAUGAAUGUUGGAAACUAUUUUGGUGCAAUUUUAUCUUUUAACACUUGAUCCUAACCCAGCUUAUGACACAUGAGAAGAUAAAUUCCUGAUAUGAGUUGUCAAAUUUGCAUUAGGUACAGGCACUAACUAGAGACUUGUGCCCAUCCAAAACCUGAGCUGUUUUUAAAAAAAUGGAUUUCUGGAAUUUAGAAAAAAAAAGUCUUUGUAGCUAUUAAAAUCAAUGAAUGAAUUGGUAUUUUAUUAUGACUAAUACCUUUAUUGAAAUGCCAGAUACAUUCAGGCAUUAAAGGCUUUAAUAAUGUGGCUCAGAUAAAGGGGUGAUUUAUUUUUCUGGGUUGCAUUUUUUGUUGAUAAAUUGCUGUGUUUUGAAGGACAAGAGCCCUAAUGUCACCAUAACCUACUUCUGAGAAGCUAAAGGGAAUAUCUGAUGCUUUUUUUGUAAUCUGAAAUCACAGCUGUGGAAGUUCAAGUAUUUUCCAUUCAAACUGCAAUAACUCAAAUUUCAGCUCAGUUCUUGGAUCAACAGUGGAUAAUAGUAUUCUGGUUGAGUUAUCAGCUGGUUUGUUCCAGAGCCUUUGUAUUUUGGUUUAUUAGACACAAUCCCAAGCUUACGGAAGGAAUUCUUCAUUCUUUUAAGUGCUACUGCAAUUAUCCAAAAUGUUACAUAUGUGAGGAAAAACACUUCUUUGGGUAACCUAGGAAGAUUCAGAUCAUUCUCUUGCUCAUUAUAGUUCUCUAUAUUGUAUGUCAGAAUUCCCCAAAGGCUCUUGGAAACUUAUCCAUGCCUCUGUGUCCACACAACCUGCUCUUGACUUUGCCUUUUGAGCUGUGUAUGUGUUUGCUGCUGUUAAAAGAGCAAAUCCUAUGGAGCAGAGGCCUCAUGAGCUGCCAGAUAAUGCUCCCACAUGUAAAGAUGUUUCUAAAGGAGCAAUGUGAGUUGAAGCACUGUCAGAGCAGAGCUUUCUAAAAUUUGUUGUAACCACUAAAAUGUUGAAUCAAGGGCCAGGUUGCUUCUCUAAGCAUUUUGAAUGGAUAGUUUCUAAGAAACAAACCCAGAAAGUGCAGGCAAAAUUGUGUUUUCACUGAAGCCUUUGAAAACUGCAAUGUUUAAGCAGGGCUGGUGUUUGCUUCUUGCUUAAUGGCUGUAUCUUGAUUUGUAGUUCUUGCCAGGGCUGGGUCUCAUGCACUCUGACCACAUCUGCUCAGCGCUGGAGGACUUGCUGGCAAAGGAGCAGGAAUUCUUUCAACAGUUCUUUGAGUAAGGAUCAGCUACUUUUAAUUUACCAUGGGAUGAAAACAUUUACAUGAUGUUCCCACAGCACAGGUGAUGCAUCCUAAAGGUUCAUAACCCAGUUUACCAUGUGCUGAUUUGUUCAUGUAUCUCUGCUUUAGUUUUCUGGUAUCUGCUUUAUUGUGGGAAUCAGCUGUAAUUACCAUGAACAACAUGUUUAUGUCCUAUAAAGGAGAACCCAUUUUAAAGUAAUUUUUAAAUUUCAUUAGAUUAAAUAUCAUUUUGGUGGAACACACCAUUCAGUAACUUCCUCUGAAUGCUUAGCAAAUAGCAUUUCUAAUUAAACAUGUUGUGCUUGCCCUUGUUCUUUUGUAUUACACCAUUUGGUUGGAGCAGAAAAUGGUCACGAAAGCCAGGAGUGCCUAAUAACUGGUGUGAUAGAAAAGCAAAUUGGUAGCUCAGUACCUUUUAAAACAGCUGUAAAGUUUUUACUUGGUAGCAGAAGUCAAUUGAUUUUUUCCUUUCUUCCUUACUUUGCUUUUGGGUUGUAGUCUGAGGAUAUUUUUUUUCCUGCCACAGCUGCCUGCAAAAGUGCCAGGUUUGGCAGCUCCCACCUGUGUAAGCACUUGAGGUAGAGUGGUGUGAAUUAGCCAAAAACUGCUCAGCUCCAACUGUUGUGCGCCGAGGUGGCUGAGGAGGGAGCUGCUACCAGGAAGGGUUUCCUGCCUUGUAAACUAAAAUCAUUUUUGUAAAUAUGAUCUUUGGGUUUUGGUUAUGUUGUGUAUAUUCAGGGCUCUUUCUGUGAGAUUUUUGUUUCAUUGUCCAAUUAGGAAAUCAGCUGGAUUCUCUGGCCUCUGCCCUUGGAGGCUUUGUUGGUUUACAUAUUUGUGUAUUGCACCAACAUCAGUAGCAACUGGGAACAUGAAAUAAAAACUGAACUUUCAAGAAGGGGAUUGACCAUUUUUAUCAUUGCAAGUUUUAUUUUUAAAAAAAUCUCUUGAUUUUUGCCUUGUAAACGUUUGAGAACCCAAGUGUUCCAAUGCCCACUUGCAUUGGGCCACUGAGAAUCACCUUCCACUGCCCAGCCUGCUGAAUCCACAGAGAGCAUACUUUGAUUUCCAUGUUUUCUGUGAGCAAUGGGAACAGUGAGCCUGUUGCAAAUGCACAGCUUAAACAUCUCGAUUCUGUGGCUGGUUUCAGGUUCUAAUAAAUAUUUAUUCAUUGGGGUUUGUUGCUGCAGAAGUUGCUCUAUUUCUGCUCUGCAGUCCUGAGUAUCCACCUUGGGCUUUCCUCUUCCUGAGGAGGGAUUUUCUAGAGGCAUUGAGCCUACAAGAUACAAAAACCAGUGAAGUCCACCCCAUUAGCAAGGACUACUUGGUAUUCACACAAUAAAGGGAGGGAAAUUUCAGGUUCCUUAUUGUUGUGUUUGAAGCCAGCUCUGGUGAUGGAUAUACAGAUCAAAACCAGGUGAGUGAGGACCCAGAACACAAUUGGAGUGGCUGCCAUGUUUAUCCAGAAGCUGACACAUCUUAACUAGAAGCUAUUCUCAAAGUAGAGAUGAGGCAAAGAACGUGACAUGUGUUUAGGAAAUGUGCUUCUGGGUGAGUGGGUAAAUUCAUGGAACAAGGAAUUUUGAAUCUGUGUGCAUUUUUACAUUUUUAGCUGUAUGGAUGAGCUUCUUUGUAUCAAGUCCAAGUCCUCCUCUGGAAAGGAAAAGAGGUUUUCUUGGUUCUUGCCUCUCUGGAGGACAUGGGGAGGGGUGGAGUUGAAGCAGGUGGUUGCUACCAGAGGUUGUUACUAUAUUUGAGCUCCACCUUGGCCUUGGAGUGAGAAUUGCCCUUGUGGAGAAGGGCUGCUUUGGCAAAAGGGGAAAAGUGUUUCCUGGGAUUAACAGCGAUUCCUGCUGCUACUGUUAUCUGGUGUUUGUGUUUUUGCUGGCAAGUGAUGGUCCUGCUUUGGUUAAUUGCAGUCAGUCCCAUUUAAUGCUGUGAUGUGGUGAAGCCAUGUGGUUUAUGGCCCACAGUUGUCAAACAGAACAAUUCAUUAAGCUCCUAAGUCUGUUGAGUCCUCCUUAUUCCCUUUUAACUCAGUCUAGUGUGUUCCCUUAUUGCCAUCGUAAAGAUGUCAUAGCUGCCCAAUGCUGUUCAUAUUUCUGUAACCCUUCUGUGUUACUGAAGACCUUGUUUCCACUGCCACCUUUGGUGGGAGUUUUGUGAUUCAACUGGGAAAUUUUACUUCUAAAAAACCUGUCUCAGUAAUCAAAGGUUUUAGAGGGAUAGGGCAUAGCUCAGGAGUCCUUCAUUUCGAGUCUAACUAAUGAAUCUGGGAUCCAGUGGGAAUGCAUGAUGUUAUCUUGGACCUAGGAGUUGGAUGCAUUUUUCCCUUAUUGACCUGUGGCUGACUAUCUUUAGUUUAUGUGGCUGGAGUUUGUGCAGUGAACUGUCAUGGGUAACUGAAUAUUUUGUGUAACUGAAUAAAUUGAAGCAUGUUUCCAGCUUGGGUCAUUAAUCAGUUGAGCUGGGAUAGUCACUUGGGGGGGGCAUCUUCUGUCUUUACAGUGGUUAGGCUUAGUUGAGUUCAGAAGUUACAAACCCAGCCUAGCAGUCUGCACCACUAUUAUGGGACAAAAAGAAGGUAUUUACUGUGCUAAAGAAGAAGAAUCCAAAAUAACCAAGCCACAUCUACUCAUUGUAAACAAACUCUGUGCAAAUUUCUAUCCCAUGCAGCAUCACUGCCUUUACCACAGAUGCACAGUGGGAAUCAGUGACUGCAGUGAUUCAUGCUGCAGUUCUUUUCUUUCCUUGCUUUAUUUUUUUAGCAUAAAUGUGACACUUGCAGAACUCGGGGAGUAAAAACCAUUUGGCUUUGGCAAGCAAGUGUGGGUAGAGAGUAUAAAAUUCCAAACACAGCUGUGCCAAUGUGCUUCAGUCCUAACUUACAACAUUUCCUGCUCUUCCAGAGCUGGGGCUGGCUCAGGGAUUGCCAGUCAUGACACUUUUUUUAUGGUGGUUUUGUGCUGUGGACCAAUGGGGACCAGAAUGAAACCAGCAGACUAAUUUUAGUUCAUGAUCUGAGGUUUUGAAUCCAGGUCUGCAGAAGUGAAAGAUUAGUGUGUAUUAGCUCACUGAAAAUUUGAGCCUGUUCUCCAGCUGGACUGUCUUGACCACCUGCUAAUUUGUUGAUAAGGUGAGAGACUGGGCACUUUGGGUCCAAUUCUGACCUCGUGUGCCCUGGUGUAACUUACAUGGUUUGAAAAAUCAAUUUCAAUUGUUUGAUUUAAACUUUAGCUAGGCCUAGACCUCUCUGCUCUUUUAUUAUUUUAAAUAAAACCAUAGCACAUUUGCUUUUUGGUUGUAUAACCUUUUUUCCCGUCCAAUUUUUCAGUUUCUGGAGACAUCUGUUUUCUACUGGUCUUGCUUUUCAUAAUACCACCAUAAAA